rnacentral:rRNA from 1 species
UACGGAGGGAGCUAGCGUUGUUCGGAAUUACUGGGCGUAAAGCGCACGUAGGCGGCUUUGUAAGUUAGAGGUGAAAGCCCGGAGCUCAACUCCGGAAUUGCCUUUAAGACUGCAUCGCUUGAAUCCAGGGAGAGGUGAGUGGAAUUCCGAGUGUAGAGGUGAAAUUCGUAGAUAUUCGGAAGAACACCAGUGGCGAAGGCGGCUCACUGGACUGGUAUUGACGCUGAGGUGGCGAAAAGCGUGGGGAGCAAACAGG